UACGUAGGGUGCGAGCGUUGUCCGGAAUUACUGGGCGUAAAGAGCUCGUAGGUGGUUUGUCGCGUUGUUCGUGAAAACUCACAACUCAAUUGUGGGCGUGCGGGCGAUACGGGCAGACUGGAGUACUGCAGGGGAGGCUGGAAUUCCUGGUGUAGCGGUGAAAUGCGUAGAUAUCGAGAGGAACACCUGCGGCGAAGGCGGGUUGCUGGGCUGACACUGACGCUGAUUGUGCGAAAGCUAGGGGAGCGAACGGG
rnacentral:rRNA from 1 species